GUAGGGAAUAUUGGGCAAUGGUCGGAAGACUGACCCAGCCAUGCCGCGUGCAGGAAGACGGCCCUCUGGGUUGUAAACUGCUUUUAUCUGGGAAGAAAAAGGCCAUGCGUGGCAAAUUGCCGGUACCAGAUGAAUAAGCACCGGCUAACUCCGUGCCAGCAGCCGCGGUAAUACGGAGGGUGCGAGCGUUGUCCGGAUUUAUUGGGAUUAAAGGGUGCGUAGGCGGCUGAUUAAGUCAGCGGUGAAAGACUUCGGCUUAACCGGAGCAGUGCCGUUGAUACUGGUUGGCUUGAGUGUCGGAGGGGUACAUGGAAUUGAUGGUGUAGCGGUGAAAUGCAUAGAUACCAUCAGGAACACCGAUAGCGAAGGCAUUGUACUGGCCGACAACUGACGCUGAUGCACGAAAGUGUGGGGAUCGAACAGGAUUAGAUACCCGUGUAGUCC
rnacentral:rRNA from 1 species